rnacentral:rRNA from 1 species
UACGUAGGGGGCAAGCGUUGUCCGGAAUCAUUGGGCGUAAAGCGCGUGUAGGCGGCUCGAUAAGUCCGCUCUGAAAGCCCGGGGCUCAACCCCCGGGAGGCGGGUGGAUACUGUCGAGCUCGAGUCCGGAAGAGGAGUGUGGAAUUCCUGGUGUAGCGGUGAAAUGCGCAGAUAUCAGGAGGAACACCAAUGGCGAAGGCAGCACUCUGGGACGUGACUGACGCUGAGACGCGAAAGCGUGGGGAGCAAACAGG